rnacentral:rRNA from 1 species
CCUACGGGAGGCAGCAGUGAGGAAUAUUGGUCAAUGGACGAGAGUCUGAACCAGCCAAGUAGCGUGAAGGAUGACUGCCCUAUGGGUUGUAGACUUCUUUUAUAAAGGAAUAAAACGAGGCACGUGUGCCUUUUUGCAUGUACUUUAUGAAUAAGGAUCGGCUAACUCCGUGCCAGCAGCCGCGGUAAUACGGAGGAUCCGAGCGUUAUCCGGAUUUAUUGGGUUUAAAGGGAGCGUAGAUGGGUUGUUAAGUCAGUUGUGAAAGGUUGCGGCUCAACCGUAAAAUUGCAAUUGAUACUGGCAGUCUUGAGUACAGUUGAGGUAGGCGGAAUUCGUGGUGUAGCGGUGAAAUGCUUAGAUAUCACGAAGAACCCCGAUUGCGAAGGCAGCUUACUAAACUGUGACUGACAUUGAUGCUCGAAAGUGUGGGUAUCAAACAGGAUUAGAUACCCUUGUAGUC